UUUCCUAACUUUAUUGGUGUAACCGAAGUCCAUAUGAGUCUUUGGCUUUGUAUCUUCUAACAAGGAAAUA
rnacentral:sRNA from 1 species